rnacentral:rRNA from 1 species
AUGCUGGAAAGAAACGGUACAGAGGGUCCAUCAAGCUCAACUAGUGAACCAGGAGAUAGAAGUGUUUGGGAUGUGAUCUGGAAAGCGAAGAUCCCGGAACGAAUCAAGAUAUUUGGGUGGAGGGUUGCCACUCAGUCUCUUGCAACCAAACACAACACACACAGAAGAACAAUUGUGCCUGAGGAUAUAUGCGACAUUUGUGGAACUGAACCAGAAGAUGAGUUCCACGCUGUUAUUUCAUGCACUCGCAGCAAGGCGUUGCGGAAUGGCAUGAGGUCAGCCUGGGAUCUGCCAAAAGAGCAAGAAUUUAGUAAAACUGGGAAAGACUGGCUGCAAUGUCUGCUCAUCCCACUUCCAGAUCAUGUCAGGAAUAGAACACUAAUGAUUCUAUGGAAAGCUUGGCAACUUAGGAAUAAUGUUAUACAUGGAGAUGGAAAGGAUACA